GAUGAACGCUGACAGAAUGCUUAACGCAUGCAAGUCUUUGGCGAAGCUGUGCUUGCACAGCCUAGCCAAGGCGGACGGGUGAGUAACGCGUAAGGAACUUGCCCUGCAGUCAGGGAUAACAGACGGAAACGACUGAUAAGACCUGGUAAAGUCAGGCGGACUCAUGUCCAGCCUGAUGAAAAGAGAUGCUGCAGGAGAGCCUUGCGUCCUAUUAGCUUGUUGGUGGGGUAACGGCCCACCAAGGCGAUGAUAGGUAGCCGGCCUGAGAGGGUGGACGGCCACAAGGGGACUGAGAUACGGCCCUUACUCCUACGGGAGGCAGCAGUGGGGAAUAUUGGACAAGGGGGGCAACCCUGAUCCAGCAAUUCUGUGUGCACGAUGAAGGUUUUCGGAUUGUAAAGUGCUUUCAGCAGGGAAGAAAAAAAUGACGGUACCUGCAGAAGAAGCGACGGCUAAAUACGUG
rnacentral:rRNA from 1 species